UCCUCGUUAGAUCACCGAAGUCAAGCAUCAUUGGGCGCGGUCAGUACUUGGGUGGGUGACCACCUGGGAACACUGCGUGCCGUU